rnacentral:rRNA from 1 species
GGCUGCCUACGGGACGCAGCAGUGGGGAAUAUUGCGCAAUGGGCGAAAGCCUGACGCAGCGACGCCGCGUGAGGGAUGAAGGUCUUUGGAUCGUAAACCUCUGUCAGCAGGGAAGAACGGUCACUGUGCUAAUCAGCAGUGAAUUGACGGUACCUGCAAAGGAAGCACCGGCUAACUCCGUGCCAGCAGCCGCGGUAAUACGGAGGGUGCGAGCGUUAAUCGGAAUUACUGGGCGUAAAGCGCUCGUAGGCGGUAUGUCAAGUCAAGGGUGAAAUCCCCGCGCUCAACGUGGGAACUGCUUUGAA